rnacentral:lncRNA from 1 species
AAGUCAAAAUAUGUGAUGCUUCUAAAUGUAAAAGCUUAAAAUAAGUAAAAAAAAUUACUAAUAGAAUUAUCUGAUAUAAUGGCUGGAACAACAAGCUCAGUUGAUCGCACAACUAUAGAUCUCGAAGAAUCUUCACGACUAUCUCACAGACAGCAUCUUGGAAGCUCUGAGGUUGCUAGCUCAGAAGCCUCUGCAUGACCUCCUCUAUGUGUGC